UAACACGUGGGUAACCUACCUAGAUGACCGGGACAACCCGAGGAAACUCGGGCUAAUACCGGAUGUGCUCCUUCCCUUCAAGGGGAUUGAGGAAAGAUAGCUUCGGCCUUCGCAUCUAGAUGGGCCCGCGGCCCAUUAGCUUGUUGGUGAGGUAACGGCUCACCAAGGCUUCGAUGGGUAGCUGGUCUGAGAGGACGAUCAGCCACACUGGGACUGAGACACGGCCCAG
rnacentral:rRNA from 1 species